rnacentral:rRNA from 1 species
CCUACGGGAGGCAGCAGUCGGGAAUAUUGCGCAAUGGAGGAAACUCUGAAGCAGUGAAGUCGCGUGCAGGAGGAAGGUCCUAGGAUUGGAAACUGCCUUAGACAGGGAAGAAAAAAGACAGUAUCUGUAGAAUAAGCUCCGGCUAACUACGUGCCAGCAGCCGCGGUAAGACGGAGGGAGCAGGCUUUACCCGGAUUUAUUGGGUGUAAAGGGUGCGUAGACGGGGAAGCAAGUUAGUUGUGAAUUCCCUCGGCUUAACUACGUAACUGCAACUAACACUACUGACCUUGAGUACGUGAGAGGUAAGUGGAAUGCCUAGUGUAGCGGUGAAAUGCGUAGAUAUUAGGAAGAACACCAGUUGCGAAGGCGACUUUCUGGUCAGUAACUGACGUUGAGGCACGAAAGUGUGGGUAUCGAACAGGAUUAGAUACCCGUGUAGUC